AUGGAUCCAUCUCAAGAUGGAGUGUCAUUCAUGCGAGCACUCUCACGUGAGUACUCUCUCAUGCACUCAGUCACUCACACUCAGACACGCACUCACGUGAGCAUUUACACGAGCACUCACGCUUGCACCAACUCACGUGAGCACUCACGUGAGCACGCACUCAUGAACUCCCGCAUGCACUCACUCAGGCGAGCACUUGGGAUCAUUCACUUACGCACUCACUCAUGCACUCACGCGAGAAUUCAGUCAUGCGAGCGAGCUCUCACUCACGUGAGCUCUCACUCACGUGAGCUCUCACUCGCGUGGGCACUCACACGAGCAAUCACUCAAGCACUCACUCACGCAAGCCACGCCCCUCGGUAUGCAUCGCUCCCUCUCGAUCUCGAGAGGCACCGAGGCCCAUCCCUUUCCAUACCUACUCAUAGGGAUCGUACCACUUAGGUCUCCGUAGGUGUCGGUAGCUGAAGAUAUGGAUGCCUGCCGAGCGCCAUCGAUAGCUCUCGCUCUCGACAGGCAUCUCUGGCUUUUGCGCUGGAGCCCAGUUUGCCCUGGGUAGGCAUCGAAGGCUAUCGACAUGGAUCCAUCUCAAGAUGGAGUGGCAGCAAUGCCUGUCGAAUUCCGGACCUAUUGAUAGUGGUUAAGGUACAUAAUAAGUGGUGGGGUGCUUAAGAACUGCAGGGGGGUUGGGGGUAUACCAACUAGAUAGGGUGGCAUAAUAAGUGGUGGGGGGUGUAAUUAGUAGUGGGGGGGGGAGGGCGUAAUAAGUGGUGCCUGCUUGCGUGUGUGAGUGAGUGCAUGCAUGUGUGCCUGCGUGAGUGUGUGCAUCAGUGCCUGCUUGCAUGAGUCUGUGUGUGCCUGAAGGCAUGCGUGAGUGCGUGCCCGCGUGCGCUGGCUGCCCUGGGAGCAGGGCUGGGCGCAGGGAACUACAUUCCCUCCUGCAUUCCCAGGGCUCAGAGAGGCCGUGGGUGGUCAGUAAUAGGGGAUUUGCGUGGCAGCACGCUUGGGGAGCUGCCAGGGUAAAAGCGGAGGGUGAAUGCAAGGGGGAGGACAGAAAAGGCCUUGAAGAGAAGGCCUGGGUGAGCCUGUGGUGCCACAAAAGGUGCGGAAAUGUGAGCGGGCAGCAGCUGGAAAGUGGGAUGUUUUUCAGUUUUAUCAAGGAAAAAAGAAACCACCUCAGCUUGAAAUUUAAAUAUAACAGGUAAACGGGCACCGUGCAUCACUUGGUUUGAACUGGUGGAUGUCUUAUGAUGCUUCUCUGUUAGCAGUGGUAGGAAUUGUGCAUUAUUUUUUUUAAUCUGUUAUUAAUUAUAUAGUAGCAGCUGAUGGGAUGAACAAAAAAGAUUGAGUGYAGUAAGUGCAGAACUUACAGAUUUCCCUGGAAAUGCUUUAGUAUUUGAUGCUGAGAUUGUUUCUUAUGAGUGAACUUACAGUUGCAGCAGGU
rnacentral:lncRNA from 1 species